GAUGAACGCUAGCGGCAGGCUUAAUACAUGCAAGUCGAGGGGUAACAUGGUAGCAAUACUGAUGACGACCGGCAAACGGGUGCGGAACACGUACAGAACCUUCCUUUAAGCGGGGGAUAGCCCAUAGAAAUGUGGAUUAAUACCCCAUAGUAAUGUUUAAUGGCAUCAUUAGAUAUUAAAGAUUUAUCACUUAAAGAUGGCUGUGCGGCUGAUUAGGUAGUUGGUGCGGGUAACGGCCUACCAAGCCGUCGAUCAGUAACUGGUGUGAGAGCACGACCAGUCACACGGGCACUGAGACACGGGCCCGACUCCUACGGGAGGCAGCAGUAAGGAAUAUUGGUCAAUGGACGCAAGUCUGAACCAGCCAUGCCGCGUGAAGGAUGAGGGCCCUNUGGGUUGUAAACUUCUUUUAUCUUGGGAAGAAAUGCCUGCUUUUUAGCGGGUUUGACGGUACCAGAGGAAUAAG
rnacentral:rRNA from 1 species